CGAAGGUCCCAAGCGUUAUCCGGAUUUAUUGGGUUUAAAGGGUGCGUAGGCGGGUUAUUAAGUCAGUGGUGAAAGCUCCAUGCCUAACAUGGAAAUUGCCAUUGAUACUGAUGAUCUUGAGUACAUUUGAAGUGGGCGGAAUGUGUCAUGUAGCGGUGAAAUGCUUAGAUAUGACACAGAACACCGAUUGCGUAGGCAGCUCACUAAACUGUAACUGACGCUGAGGCACGAAAGCGUGGGGAGCGAACAGGAUUAGAUACCCUGGUAGUCCACGCCCUAAACGAUGUUCACUCGAUGUGUGCGAUACACUGUACGCGUCCAAGCGAAAGCAAUAAGUGGACCACCUGGGGAGUACGGCCGCAAGGCUG
rnacentral:rRNA from 1 species